rnacentral:misc_RNA from 1 species
AACUUUUGACAAUGGAUCACGCAUCGAUGAAGAACGCAGCGAAAUGCGAUAAGUAAUGUGAAUUGCAGAAUUCAGUGAAUCAUCGAAUCUUUGAACGCACCUUGCGCUCCUUGGUAUUCCGAGGAGCAUGCCUGUUUGAGUGUCGUGAAAUUCCUCAACUUUGCCAACCUUGGCAAGGAUUGGACUUUGGAGUGUGCCGGACUUUGUUUACGAGGUCGGCUCCUCUAAAAUGUAUUAGCAAAACCUGUGGCAGGGUUGAAGCUUUGGUUUGAUAAUUCUUAAGCCAUGGCUGUCUGCUCGGAUUUGCUUGCCUUCAAGGGGGAAACAAAGCCCCCUUUUGACACUCUGACCUCAAAUCAGGUAGGACUACCCGCUGAACUUAAGCAUAUCAAUAAGCGGAGGCU